AAUAGAGGGGAGAUUCCCCCAUCAAGUGUCAAUGGGUCUGAUGGACCAGCUCUCUGUAUAAAAGACAGGUCAGAUCAGACCUCAGACAUAGAACCAGAGCAUCAGCUAGACUUCUGACACAGAACCAGACCAGAGCAUCAGAGACCAGAGCAUAAGAAACCAGAACAUCAGAGACCAGAACAUCAGAGACCACAACAUCAGAGACCAGAGCAUCAGCUAGACUUCUGACACAGAACCAGACUAGAGCAUCAGAGACCAGAGCAUAAGAAACCAGAACAUCAGAGAACAUCUCAGACAAUACAAUCUUCAGCAUCUCAACCAUCUCUGAACCAUGAAGACCCUGACUGCUCUACUCCUCCUGGGACUGCUCUGCUCCCUGCAUACGACGUCUGCACAGGGUGUCAUCGCGUUGGAAACGUCAACUGACUGCUGUAUGAAAUUCAGCGCGAGGAUCCCUCUUCAACAAGUAGUUUCUCUCAGAACAACCUCCAGUAGCUGCCCUCGCAAAGCACUGAUUUUCACCACAAAGAAAGGGAAGACAUUUUGUGUUGACCCUUCUGAAGCCUGGGUCCAGAGUCAUGUGACCAAGAUUGAGAGCAGACCACAAUGAUGUCAUCAACCACCAUCACCCCCUAACACCCCAACCCCUUGUUGGUGCACUAUAAAGGGAAUAGGUUGCCAUUAGUGCCGUAGACCUUGUCAUGCAUGUCAAUAUCCUAUCUGAGAUUGGUAUGGAUUAGGUUCAAUGUAAUGUACUAGGUUAAUAUCCUAUCUGAGAUUGGUAUAGAGGAGGUUCAAUGUAAUGUACUAGGUUAAUAUCCUAUCUGAGAUUGGUAUAGAGGAGGUUCAAUGUAAUGUACUAGGUUAAUAUGCUAUCUGAGAUUGGUAUGGAUUAGGUUCAAUGUAAUGUACUAGGUUAAUAUCCUAUCUGAGAUUGGUAUGGAUUAGGUUCAAUGUAAUGUACUAGGUUAAUAUCCUAUCUGAGAUUGGUAUAGAGGAGGUUCAAUGUAAUGUACUAGGUCUAGGAUAUACUAAUUGUUUAUUUUUCAAUAACUGUAAAAUAUACUUGACAUGUAACUAUUCAGUAACCUAUUUAAUAUUUUAUAUUUUGUAAAGCCGUUAAAAUUUCAAACAUCCUGUGAAAGAGUGGUUAAUAUGAUUCAAUUCAUGUAUUAAUGGAUAUAUAUGGGUUGUAACUAGGUCUAAUCUACUGAUAUAUAUAUUGGUGGUUGUAACUAGGUCUAUUCUACUGAUAUAGAUAUUAAUGGGUUGUAACUAGGUCUAUUAUACUGAUAUAGAUAUUAAUGGGUUGUAACUAGGUCUAUUCUACUAUACUGAUAUAGAUAUUAAUGGGUUGUAACUAGGUCUAUUCUACUGAUAUAGAUAUUAAUGGGUUGUAACUAGGUCUAUUCUACUGAUAUAGAUAUUAAUGGGUUGUAACUAGGUCUAUUCUACUAUACUGAUAUAGAUAUUAAUGGGUUGUAACUAGGUCUAUUCUACUGAUAUAGAUAUUAAUGGGUUGUAACUAGGUCUAUUCUACUGAUAUAGAUAUUAAUGGGUUGUAACUAGGUCUAUUCUACUAUACUGAUAUAGAUAUUGAUGGGUUGUAACUAGGUCUAUUCUACUGAUAUAUAUAUUAAUGGGUUGUAACUAGGUCUAUUCUACUAUACUGAUAUAGAUAUUGAUGGGUUGUAACUAGGUCUAUUCUACUGAUAUAGCUAUUAAUGGGUUGUAACUAGGUCUAUUCUACUGAUAUAGCUAUUAAUGGGUUGUAACUAGGUCUAUUCUACUAUACUGAUAUAGAUAUUGAUGGGUUAUAACUAGGUCUAUUCUACUGAUAUAGAUAUUGAUGGGUUGUAACUAGGUCUAUUCUACUGAUAUAGAUAUUGAUGGGUUGUAACUAGGUCUAUUCUACUGAUAUAGAUAUUAAUGGGUUGUAACUAGGUCUAUUCUACUAUACUGAUAUAGAUAUUAAUGGGUUGUAACUAGGUCUAUUCUACUGAUAUAGAUAUUGAUGGGUUGUAACUAGGUCUAUUCUACUGAUGUAGAUAUUAAUGGGUUGUAACUAGGUCUAUUCUACUGAUGUAGAUAUUAAUGGGUUGUAACUAGGUCUAUUCAACUGAUGUAGAUAUUGUAUUUUUCUACUAUACUGUCAACUGUUGUGCAUCUGUUGUUUUUUAAAUAAAUGAAGCCUUCUGAAGAA